UCUGACCUCAAAUCAGGUA
rnacentral:rRNA from 1 species